UACGUAGGGACCAAGCGUUGUUCGGAUUUACUGGGCGUAAAGGGCGCGUAGGCGGCAAUUCAAGUCAUUUGUGAAAUCUCCGGGCUUAACCCGGAACGGUCAGAUGAUACUGCUUUGCUAGAGUGCGGAAGGGGCAAUCGGAAUUCUUGGUGUAGCGGUGAAAUGCGUAGAUAUCAAGAGGAACACCUGAGGUGAAGACGGGUUGCUGGGCCGACACUGACGCUGAUAGCGCGAAAGCCAGGGGGGCAAACGGG
rnacentral:rRNA from 1 species